rnacentral:rRNA from 1 species
UAUCUUAGUGGCGGACGGGUGAGUAACGCGUGGGUAACCUGCCCCAUACCGGGGGAUACCACCUGGAAACAGGUGCUAAUACCGCAUAAGCGCACGGAAGCGCAUGCUCCUGUGUGAAAAACUCCGGUGGUAUGGGAUGGACCCGCGUCUGAUUAGCCAGUUGGCAGGGUAACGGCCUACCAAAGCGACGAUAAGUAGCCGGCCUGAGAGGGUGGACGGCCACAUUGGGACUGAGACACGGCCCAAACUCCUACGGGAGGCAGCAG